rnacentral:rRNA from 1 species
UACAGGGGGGGCAAGCGUUGUUCGGAAUUACUGGGCGUAAAGGGCCAGUAGGCGGCCAACUAAGUCCGACGUGAAAUCCCCAAGCUUAACCUGGGAACUGCAUCCGAUACUGGAUGGCUUGAAUCCGGGAGAGGGAUGCAGAAUUCCAGGUGUAGCGGUGAAAUGCGUAGAUAUCUGGAGGAAUACCGGUGGCGAAGGCGGCAUCCUGGACCGGCAUUGACGCUGAGUGAGCGAAAGCCAGGGGAGCAAACGGG